rnacentral:rRNA from 1 species
GACGAACCGUGCGAACGUUGUUCGGAUUCACUGGGCUUAAAGGGCGCGUAGGCGGCUUGCCAAGUCAGGGGUGAAAUCUUUCGGCUCAACCGGAAAACAGCUUCUGAUACUGGCGGGCUUGAGGGAGGUAGGGGCGGAUGGAACUUCCGGUGGAGCGGUGAAAUGCGUAGAUAUCGGAAGGAACGCCGGUGGCGAAAGCGGACUUCUGGGUUGUUACUGACGCUGAGGUACGAAAGCGUGGGGAGCAAACGGG